UAAUUAUUUACAACAACUUUCCAGGGGGACAGGAGUCAUCCUCCCUGGGCAGGGUUGAAUAUCUCAACCCUUCUGUAUCUUCUCCCUGAGGAGGCUGAGCUCUGACAGGCUGCCCCAGGGAACAGGGAAGUCUCAAGGUUUCCAGCUAUGGGCACAUCUCAGACUGGGCGCUAAGUGCUUGCAAAAGAAAUGCAAGAAGCCUUACCACACACAAGGUGCACGAUGAGAACCAUUCAACACGGAGGACUGGGGCUGCAGGGAGCAGUGAUAAGAAGAAUUACCGUCAAAAGGAAGCCUGCGUUCCCCCGUGGACAUUUUGAGGUCUCCUAGGUUUCUUUGAAAGGUUCUGUAACUCUUUAAAGACAUUAACAUUGGAUGAUGGUUGCAAUUCAUUAACCCUGAAAGGACUAACAAACUCAGAGGCAUACAGCCUUAUAUUUUUUGACUCUGCCAUGGCCCCAGCACAGUGUAUAAUGUAUAAUGCAGUCAGUUGAUGUAAAAGGAUAAAAUAAUUUUUAUGACUCAUAUGGGUCUUAAGCUUUGGGGGGGGUGAUGUCAGGGAUGAGACAAGGUUUUCAUGUAGCCUCACCUCACCUGGAACUUGUUGUGUAGACCAGACUGGCCUUAGUCUCACAGGGAUCCGCCUCUGCCUUCCCAGUGCUGGGAUUAAAGGCAUGCACCUCCACACCCAACUCUGCCUUAUUUUUUUUAAUAUGAAUGGACUUUUAAAAACUCACAGCAGGUGCAUAUGACACAUGAGGAAAGAAAAAAAACAGUGAAGACUGAAUGUUGAGAAGCAAGUUGAAACACUGUUAACCUGAUACUACUACAUCCUAAAUGAAGAGUCCAUACAUUUUAAUACACAUUAAUAAAAAGUCCAUCAUUAUAAAAAUUCCAGUAAUACCUUUACUAGGGGAUUGAAAAUAAGGUAUUGUCUUAGUUUCAGUUCCUAUUGCUGUUAUAAAAGAGAGUUUAUUUUGGCUCACAGUUCUAGGUUACAGUCCACUAGGGUUAGGAAGUCAGAGGCAUCUGGUCACAUUGCAUCAACAGCUAAGAAACAGAGCAUGAUGGAGGCAAGCUGGGGCUCAGCAUCCUUUCUCCACUUACACAGUCCAGGAUCCCAGCCAGGGGAGGAUGCCAUCAACAGUGGGCAGGUCUUCCCACCUCCAUUAAUGCAGUAAAGAAAAUGCCCAGAGGCCCAUCUCCUAGGAGACUCUAGA